rnacentral:rRNA from 1 species
UCUAGUGCCCAAAACAUCCUUGUCAAAGCCUGAUCUCAUCACAUCUCAGAAGCUAAACAGCGCUGGGCCUGGUUAGUACUUGGA